CGGCGUUGCCAACGUGGACAUCGCACCCUCUCUCUGGUGUAUAAAAGGCUGGGAAUGCCCUCACUUCCUUGCAUUUGUGAGCCGGUAUUAACAGGUUACUUCGAUCUGUGGCUGUUUUUUGGCGAGCUGGGGAGGAAAACUAAAACCCACAUGGCUUUCACACACGUGGUGGGCGUCGCUUUGGUGCUGGCGUGGGCGACGGGGCUCUGCUGGGGACACGAGAAUAUACAGGAAGCAUCGCCGCCUGCCGUCCCUCCCCAGCAUAUAAAGGAGAUGUUCUUUCCCCCUCACGAAAUGCGUUACCUUCAAGCUGCAAGAUUGGCCAAGCUUAGGGGAGGAGAGUGGAUGCUUACCGAUGACAGGAGGAAGGAAGAGAUGGAGGAGGAGGAAGAGUAUCCAUCACUCCCCGUGGUUCCUCCCUUUGCUCCCGUUCCUCCUGCCCUCAUCCCCCACAUGGGCCCAGGGAGGGGAGUGCACGACACUGCUUUAUCCCAGGACCUGAAAGAGGAUGCUUGAGUGACCGCGCGUGUGGCAUCAAGUGCCUUUUAGGCGGUUUAAUUCCUGCUUGUGUGGUGACUUUGUAGAUGAAGUUACCCGUGACGGCCGCAUGAUUAUGAUAAACUGGUAAACUUUUUUUUUUUUUUUUUUUUUUGAGUCGUUGGUGUUCCUGAGGUUGUUUAUUUGUUGUUGUUGUUGUUGUUGUAUUCUUCCUCUUUUUUUCUGCUUCCUCUUCUUCUUCUUCUUAUUAUUAUUAUUAUUAUUACUAUUAUUAUUAUUAUUAUAUAUUAUUAUUAUUAUUAUUAUUAUUAUUAUUAUUAUUAUUAUUAUUAUUAUUAUUAUUAUUAUUAUUAUUAUUAUUAUUAUUAUUUUCAUUAUGAUUAUUUUUAUUAUUAUUACAUUCGGACAUCGCCUCAUCUCCUUCCUACUUUUAAGGCAGAAAAAGCAACAUAACCAACUAUAAUCUCACAAAAUAAAACUGAACUAUCUUCUAAAAUGUAAAAUAGCAACAAAUAAAAGUUAACAACGGCUGGUGGUCUGUGUUCAUCGUCGUUAAUUAAGAUAGAAAAUCCUGGAAUGACGGAACAGCCAUGAACAACAUCGAGUACUCAUCUGUGAACAUACAUUGUGAACAUCUCUCAUCUCUGCCUAUCCUUGUACCCAGGCACCUCUGCUCAUGAUAUUCCCGGUUCAUUCACCUCCCGAGCCGGUAAGUGGGAAACUCGAGCGGUCGGUCACAAUAAAACCAUUUCCCUGUUGGCUGCUGGUCUUGUCCCUGACUCGGCCCGGGCCUGCUGAGGGACACGUGGAGAUCCUGCUGUGCAGCCUCCGGGGGCCUGACCUGUUUUGAAGGCCCCUGUCAGGAUAACUCGACGUCCAUUUUCUCUUCUGUUGUAUUUAAAGACUUGACUGUAGAAGGAAAUUGUGAGCUAGAUCUUGAGUCUUGUAGAAGGAAAUUGUGUGCUAGGUAGAUAUUGAGUUUUAUAGAAGGAAUUUAUGGGCUAGGUAGAUCUUGAAAUUAUGUGUUAGCUAGAUCUUGAGUCUUGUAGAAGGAAAUUGUGUGCUAGGUAGAUAUUGAGUUUUAUAGAAGGAAUUUAUGGGCUAGGUAGAUCUUGAAAUUAUGAGUUAGGUAGAUAUUUAGUCUUGUAGAAGGAAAUUGUGUUAGGUAGAUUUUAAGUCUUGUAGAAGGAAUUUAUAGGCUAGGUAGAUCUUGAAAUUGUACUAGUUAGAUAUCAAGUCUUGUAGAAGGAAAUCAUAUUCUAGAUUUUUAUGAGAAAAAAAAUACAACAUAAACUAUACAGAUUAAAAUAGCUGUCGAGACUUUCAUUCUAAUUUUGUAUGCAGCCGCGUGAUUUAUGUACCUGUGUGGUCUUAAUUGUGUUUUUUUAACCGUGGUUCAAAGACUAUCACACCGAUCAAGCCAGUGAGAAAAAAAUACCACAUAAGCUACUGGAAAAGAUAAUAUUCGCCUCAUAUUAUUUUCAUUUUAAUUUUGUAUGCUGGUGCGUGUUUUAUGUUCUUCGUUGAUCUUGUUUUUAGUCUUUUAGCCGUGAUUAAAAAUAUAUCAUACCGAUCAAUUCAGUGAAAAACAGAGACAGGCAGUUUUCAGUUUGUUUCAAAAUAUGUAUUGAUGCAGUAAAGAAAGUAGGCUACAUCAAAGGGUGCAGUUAGCAUGCUCAUACUCCCACUCAACUGACUCAUAAAUACCUUACAAAAGAAUAAAUCAGAACCUACAAGCAAAGUUUUAAUGAUAUGUUUCUUGUAUCAUUGCAAAUCACAUUAUGUUUUCCCUGGGGGUUGGGAUGGCAUGUUCCUCCCUUAAUCUCAUUACUGUGUACUUAUGCAGCAAUAAACCAUCAAUCAAUCAAUGAAAAAUAAAGAUGUUCUCCCAACCAU